rnacentral:rRNA from 2 species
CAGCCGCCGCGGUAAUACCAGCACCCCGAGUUGUCGGGACGAUUAUUGGGCCUAAAGCAUCCGUAGCCGGUUGCAUAAGUUUUCGGUUAAAUCUAUGCGCUUAACGUAUAGGCCGCCGAAAAUACUGUGCAGCUAGGGAGUGGGAGAGGUACACGGUACUCGAUAGGAAGGGGUAAAAUCCUUUGAUCUAUUGAUGACCACCUGUGGCGAAGGCGGUGUACCAGAACACGUUCGACGGUGAGGGAUGAAAGCUGGGGGAGCAAACCGGAUUAGAUACCCGGGUAGUCCCAGCUGUAAACGAUGCAGACUCGGUGAUGCAUUGGCUUGUGGCCAAUGCAGUGCCGCAGGGAAGCCGUUAAGUCUGCCGCCUGGGAAGUACGUACGCAAGUAUGAAACUUAAAGGAAUUGGCGGGGGAGCAC